CCCUUAGAUGUUCUGGGCCGCACGCGCGCUACACUGAUGCAUUCAACGAGUCUAAAACCUGCUCUGAUAGGGGUGGGUAAUCUUUUGAAUGUGCAUCGUGAUUGGGAUAGAUGAUUGCAAUUUUUCAUCUUCAACGAGGAAUGCCUAGUAAACGCAAGUCAUCAACUUGCAUUGAUUACGUCCCUGCCCUUUGUACACACCGCCCGUCGCACCUACCGAUUGAACGUUCCGGUGAGACCUUGGGAUUUGGUCUUUGAUACUUUAUUGUGUCGUUGACCGAAAAACUUGAGCAAACCUUAACGUUUAGAGGAAGGUGAAGUCGUAACA
rnacentral:rRNA from 1 species